rnacentral:rRNA from 1 species
AGUGAACGCUGGCGGUAGGCCUAACACAUGCAAGUCGAACGGCAGCACAGUAAGAGCUUGCUCUUACGGGUGGCGAGUGGCGGACGGGUGAGGAAUACAUCGGAAUCUACUUUUUCGUGGGGGAUAGCGUAGGGAAACUUACGCUAAUACCGCAUACGACCUACGGGUGAAAGCAGGGGAUCUUCGGACCUUGCGCGAUUGAAUGAGCCGAUGUCGGAUUAGCUAGUUGGCGGGGUAAAGGCCCACCAAGGCGACGAUCCGUAGCUGGUCUGAGAGGAUGAUCAGCCAGACUGGAACUGAGGCACGGUACAGACACAUACGGGAGGCAGCAGUGGGGAAUAGUGGACAAUGGGCGCAAGCCUGAUCCAGCCAUACCGCGUGGGUGAAGAAGGCCUUCGGGUUGUAAAGCCCUUUUGUUGGGAAAGAAAAGCAGCAGGUUAAUACCCCGCUGUUCUGACGGUACCCAAAGAAUAAGCACCGGCUAACUUCGUG